GACGAACGCUGGCGGCGUGCUUAACACAUGCAAGUCGAACGGAAAGGCCCUGCUUUUGUGGGGUGCUCGAGUGGCGAACGGGUGAGUAACACGUGAGUAACCUGCCCUUGACUUUGGGAUAACUUCAGGAAACUGGGGCUAAUACCGGAUAGGAGCUCCUGCUGCAUGGUGUGGGUUGGAAAGUUUCGGCGGUUGGGGAUGGACUCGCGGCUUAUCAGCUUGUUGGUGGGGUAGUGGCUUACCAAGGCUUUUACGGGUAGCCGGCCUGAGAGGGUGACCGGCCACCUUGGGACUGAGAUACGGCCCAGACUCCUACGGGAGGCAGCAGUGGGGAAUAUUGCACAAUGGGCGGAAGCCUGAUGCAGAAACGCCGCGUGCGGGAUGACGGCCUUCGGGUUGUAAACCGAUUUCGACUGUGACGAAGAGUGAGUGACGGUAAUGGGUAAAGAAGCAACGGCUAACUACGUG
rnacentral:rRNA from 1 species